GGCGAACGGGUGAGUAACGCGUGAGCAAUCUACCUUAGACAGGGAUAGCCCGAGGAAACUCGGAUUAAUACCUGAUAUUCUUUAUUUCUCGCAUGAGAAUAAAAGGAAAGGUCAGCCGAACUAAGAUGAGCUCGCGUUCUAUCAGCUAGUUGGUGAGGUAAAAGCUUACCAAGGCUACGACGGAUAGCUGGUCUGAGAGGACGAUCAGCCACACUGGGACUGAGACACGGCCCAGACUCCUACGGGAGGCUGCAGCAGGGAAUAUUGUGCAAUGAACGAAAGUUUGACACAGCGACACCGCGUGUGGGAUGACGGAUCUAGGUUUGUAAACCACUUUCAGGAGGGAAGAAAAUGACGGUACCUCCACAAGAAGCCCCGGCCAACUACGUGCCAGCAGCCGCGGUAAUACGUAGGGGGCGAGCGUUGUCCGGAUUUAUUGGGCGUAAAGAGCUC
rnacentral:rRNA from 1 species